rnacentral:rRNA from 1 species
AGCUAAUAGAUACCCCGGUAGUCCACGCCCUAAACGAUGUCUACUAGUUGUUGGUGGAGUAAAAUCCAUGAGUAAACGCAGCUAAACGCGUGAAGUAGACCGCCUGGGGAGUACGGUCGCAAGAUUAAAACUCAAAGGAAUUGACGGGGCCGCACAAGCGGUGGAUUAUGUGGAUUAAAUUCGAUGCAACGCGAAAAACCUUAACCUGGCCGUUGACAUGCCACUAACGAAGCAGAGAUGCAUUAGGUUGCCCGUAACGGGAAAGUAGGACACAGGUGCUGCAUGGCUGUCGUCAGCUCGUGUCGUGAGA